rnacentral:lncRNA from 1 species
CUGGGGACAGGGAGGGAUGUCCCGUAACCUUUCUGCUUUCUCUUAUGAAGCUUCUAAGGAAAUUCCAUUGUAUUGUAUUUACAAGGCAUCCCCAACUGUCAGCUUCCUCGAACACAAUGUAUUUAAUAAAAAGCCAUUAAGCCUUGUAAAGCUGUCAGAAACCUAAAUGACACUUGUAAUAAAAUCUUGUCGGGUGACCUGUUCUGGUUAAUCAGGCCCUGUGACAUCAUCGCCCUCAGAUUUGUCUGAUACCCCGGGCGUGAGCUAUGUUUAGACAGCUUUAUGAUCCACACGGAUUUGAGUUAUUAAAAUUGUACAGUUUUGCAAGGAAUUUGGGAUUUAAUAAAACAGCAGAGAAACUACAAAA